rnacentral:misc_RNA from 1 species
UCAGAAACAACAGCUUCUUCCUGUCUCUCUCUUUAACCUACUUCUAACUCAUACAUAGAAAGCAAAACCCCAGACACCCUCUUUUGUUCUUCCUACAUAUCCUGUCGCUCUUGUUUUUGGCAUGAAAGUUGAGAACAAGAGCGUGUUUCUUGAGUAGAGAGAGAGUAUUUAGUUUCUUGAUUUCUUGCGACUGCUGCUUCAUUUAUUUACGUGAAAAUAAUUAAGAGGGUAUGGCCUCUCCGUCUGAGCUAACCCUGGAUUGCAAACCCCACAGCUAUUCUAUGCUAUUGAAAUCUUUUGGAGACCAGAAUGACCAGACUCAAAAACUUGAAGAGAUUCUCUGUCGCCUUGAAGAAGAAAGGCAAAAGAUCGAUGCUUUCAAGCGCGAAUUACCCCUUUGCAUGCAACUUCUCACCAACGCUGUGGAGACUUCAAGGCAGCAACUACAAGCCUACAACGCAAAUCAAGGGCCAAGGCCAGUUCUCGAGGAAUUCAUACCACUCAAAAACUCUACUUCUGAAUCCUUGGAUAAGUCCUCAAAUAUCUCUGAUAAGGCAAACUGGAUGACUACAGCACAACUCUGGAGCCAAGAUAGCAAUGAAACCAAACCUCAAACCACAUUAACCGCUUUCCCUAGAGAAACUAAUAUAGGAUUCAGUGUUAGUUCCAAGCUGGGCUUAGACACCAAACAAAGAAAUGGAGGAGCUUUCCUUCCAUUCUCAAAAGAACGAAACUCAUGUCCAAGCCCAACCUUAGCGCUUGCUUCUACUGAGCAAGAAAUGGAAGACAAGAAAUGUUUGGAAACAGAGAAUGGGUUUUCUUGUUCAAAGAUAGGGAAUUCUGGUAAAAUUGAUAUUAAUAAUGGUGGGGUAGUUGUGAUUGAGCAAGGAAAAGGCACUGGUAAUUCAUCAUCAGAUGGGCAAGCAACAAAUACAGGGGCAGGUAAUAGUACAAAUAAUACAACUACUAGCACUACAACAAGCAGUCAAGCCCAUAGGAAGGCAAGGAGGUGUUGGUCCCCAGACUUGCACCGGAGAUUCGUGAAUGCUCUGCAAAUGCUUGGAGGUUCUCAAGUGGCCACACCAAAACAAAUCAGAGAGCUCAUGAAGGUUGAUGGUUUGACCAAUGAUGAAGUUAAAAGCCACCUGCAGAAAUAUAGGCUUCACACAAGGAGACCUAGUCCAAGCCCACAAACAGCUGGAGCCCCAACACCUCAGCUCGUCGUUCUAGGAGGCAUAUGGGUCCCGCCGGAGUAUGCCACCGCAGCUGCAGCAGCUCACACCGGGGCACCUACCCUCUAUGGCACCCACCCAGCUUCCCACGCACCGCCACCUCACUUUUGUGCUGCACCACCUGUGCCCCAAGACUUUUACACUGCAGCAACAGCUCCGUCUCCGCCGCCGCCAACUCACCACCAGAUGCACCAUCACCACCACACACUCCAACAACUCCAUAUGUACAAGGCUACAUCACAGGCUCAUAGCUCGCCGGAGUCUGACGUAAGGGGCACUGGAGACCAGUCUGAAAGCAUUGAAGAUGGCAAGUCAGAGAGCAGUAGCUGGAAGGCUGAGAGUGGCGAGAAUGGUGGAGAGAGAAAAGGGUUGGCUGCAUUGAGGGAAGAUGGUGAUGAAAGCAACGGAAGUGAGAUCAGUCUCAGGCCUCUGCGGUAUUAGGGUCAGCGUUAGGGUUUAGGGUUAGGUUAAUUUGGGAGUUUAAUUUCUAACUAGCAAUGUCCUAUGUAUUAAUUCUAUUCUACAUUUGAUGUCAAAUGUCUUCUAUAGAGAGAGAGAGGGGGUAAAAGGGGCAUAACGAAAAAGUGAGGGUUUGUUUUGUCUUGGUAAACAUCCUCCGUGCAAUGAUUGAAACAAUUUGUUUCGUUUUUUGGCUUCUUGUGGUAUUUUGGCCUUUUGGCCUCAUGGACAGAUUUGCCCUUAUUAUCAUAGAUAAUGGCUGUCGGUGCUAGCUAGGGCAAAUUGAGUGAAUAGAGCUAAUUAGUCUUACUGCACCAUUAUUAAAUAUAAAAAAU